rnacentral:rRNA from 1 species
CGCGUAGGCGGCUCCGUAAGCGGGUGGUGAAAGCCCGGGGCUCAACCCCGGGUCGGCCAUGCGAACUGGGGAGCUGGAGCACGGUAGAGGCACAUGGAAUUCCGGGUGUAGCGGUGGAAUGCGUAGAGAUCCGGAAGAACACCGGUGGCGAAGGCGGUGUGCUGGGCCGUGGCUGACGCUGAGGCGCGACAGCGUGGGGAGCAAACA